UUGGCUGUUUGCUGCCUCUCCCCACCCCCCAACCCAUAUGUGGAGGUGGGAGGGGGGCCAGGUGGCGUGUAGGGGAGGGGCCUCCCACACCCUCCCCCCCAGGGCCUCCAUCUUUGCAGAGAACCUUUCUGGUCUCUAAGGGGGAUGCCUCUUGUGGGAAGGGGAAUAAGAAUUAAGAGCAAUAAUGUCUGGGCGCUAGGUAGUCAGUGGGCACUUCAAUAUGAAAUUCUCUCAUUUCAUAUUCUCUGGGAUCUAACAGGUACAUGUUUUUAGCCCCAUUUUGCAGCUGAGGUAAUGGAGGCCCGGAAAGAUGAAGUCACUUGGCUACGGCAGUAUAGCUGGGACGAGGCUGAGCCUAGAUUUAGACCUGUCUGUUUCUACCAUCUCCCAAUGCCCGUGCAGUGCCAGCCCACACACCAGCCAGCCCUCCUGCCCCAAGGCUUACGCAUGCUCCAGAACCCUCUGGGACUCCUCAGUUCCCUUGGGAGCCAACCAAGCCCAAACUGCUGUUUGGACCCCUGGGCCCUCUGCUGGCCUUGUCCCAGGCCCUGCCCUCCCUCCAACUUUCCUUGCUGCCUCUGAUCUCAGGCUGCCUUCCCACUGCCACCUUGCAGCUGACACUGGAGUUCUCAACCCACACCCACUUCCACUGUCACAUGCUCACCAAGGCAGCUGUAGAACUGAUCCCUUGGGACACCCCUCAGAAACUAGGCGGGGUGCUUGGGUGGUUUGAACAAAGACCUCCCUCCCAGGUGAUUCUGGAACCCACUGCGUCUGCCUGAGAAUUUCCGCCUUAAAUCCUUAGUUGGCAAACCUGGCUGAUGAUCAGAGUUACCUAGAAGCUUUUAGUGAGUAAAGGUGUUGAGUCCCCAUCUCAAACCCUCUAUGUCAGACGCUCGUCAGGUGGACUUUGGAAUCUAUACUUUAACAGGCCCCAAGACUGAUGGCAGCUUCCUCCAUUCACUUCAAUCCAGGUCCAUUGUGCAGUGCUGCUCAGAGGAACUGAACAUCUCCUUGACCUUGAGAUUCCCCAGGGUCAAUCUGGGAAGAUAAGAUGAGGACUCCGGAUUUUGAUUCAGGAUAAAGACUGCUCAGGGUCAUGAUGGAAGGCCAGAUAAUAAGCUAAGGGUGUUUGGGGGAAGGGGAAGGGAACCAGACAAAGGAGGUCAGACCCUGCAGGACUCUGGGAGUUCUGGCUGUGUUGGCCAGGACUUGAGGCUGGAGAAGCAAGCAAGGGCCUGAGGGCGAGUGGCCUUGAAUGCCAAAAUGGGGAGCUGGUACUCCAAGCUGUUGGGGAUGGAGAAAGAUCACUUGAGAGUAGUGUAGAGGGUGGAGUAGGGAGCCUGGCUCAAGCGCCCAGUGUGGGCCUAGUGCCGGGGUAGAGAAUAUGAGCCUGAGAGAGGAUGGAAGCUCACAGAGUCCAAGAUUCCAGGCCUGUGGCCUUGAGGAUUUCGGAGGUGAGACAGUAGUAUAGUUAGGAGUCUUGGAGGCAAGAAGGGAAGGGCAGACACUAGCUCUACCACUCAUCCCCUGUGUGGCCUUGGGCAACUGGACCUGUUUCCUCCUCUACAAAAUGGGAUAAUAACAGGACUUAUGCCCAAGCUUUGUUGUGAGAACUAUAGGAGAAAUACUUGUAAAGUGCUCAAUAAAUCUUAGUAAAUAUCA